CCUACGGGAGGCUGCAGUGGGGAAUAUUGCACAAUGGGCACAAGCCUGAUGCAGCCAUGCCGCGUGUGUGAAGAAGGCCUUCGGGUUGUAAAGCACUUUCAGCGGGGAGGAGGGCGUUAAGGUUAAUAACCUUGGCGAUUGACGUUACCCGCAGAAGAAGCACCGGCUAACUCCGUGCCAGCAGCCGCGGUAAUACGGAGGGUGCAAGCGUUAAUCGGAAUUACUGGGCGUAAAGCGCACGCAGGCGGUCUGUCAAGUCGGAUGUGAAAUCCCCGGGCUCAACCUGGGAACUGCAUUCGAAACUGGCAGGCUAGAGUCUUGUAGAGGGGGGUAGAAUUCCAGGUGGAGCGGUGAAAUGCGUAGAGAUCUGGAGGAAUACCGGUGGCGAAGGCGGCCCCCUGGACAAAGACUGACGCUCAGGUGCGAAAGCGUGGGGAGCAAACAGGAUUAGAUACCCCGGUAGGC
rnacentral:rRNA from 1 species